AGAAUCAACGCUGGCGGCGUGCCUAACACAUGCAAGUCGAACGAGAAAGUGGAGCAAUCCAUGAGUACAGUGGCGUACGGGUGAGUAACACGUGACUAACCUACCCUCGAGUGGGGAAUAACCUCGGGAAACCGGGGCUAAUACCGCAUAACAUCUUCGGAUCAAAUGCGUAAGCAGCUUGAGGAGGGGGUCGCGGCCGAUUAGCUAGUUGGCGGGGUAAUGGCCCACCAAGGCAAUGAUCGGUAGCCGGCCUGAGAGGGCGCACGGCCACACUGGAACUGAAACACGGUCCAGACUCCUACGGGAGGCAGCAGUGGGGAAUUUGCGCAAUGGGGGAAACCCUGACGCAGCAACGCCGCGUGGAGGAUGAAGCCCUUUGGGGCGUAAACUCCUUUCGAUCGGGACGAUUAUGACGGUACCGGAAGAAGAAGCACCGGCUAACUCUGCGCCAGCAGCCGC
rnacentral:rRNA from 1 species